GCUCAAAUUUGAAAUCUGGCACCUUCGGUGUCCGAGUUGUAAUUUGAAGAUUGUAACCUUGGGGUUGGCUCUUGUCUAUGUUUCUUGGAACAGGACGUCACAGAGGGUGAGAAUCCCGUGCGAUGAGAUGCCCAAUCCUAUGUAAGGUGCUUUCGAAGAGUCGAGUUGUUUGGGAAUGCAGCUCUAAGUGGGUGGUAAAUUCCAUCUAAAGCUAAAUAUUGGCGAGAGACCGAUAGCGAACAAGUACAGUGAUGGAAAGAUGAAAAGAACUUUGAAAAGAGAGUGAAAAAGUACGUGAAAUUGUUGAAAGGGAAGGGUUUGAGAUCAGACUCGAUAUUUUGUGAGCCUUGCCUUCGUGGCGGGGUGACCCGCAGCUUAUCGGGCCAGCAUCGGUUUGGGCGGUAGGAUAAUGGCGUAGGAAUGUGACUUUGCUUCGGUGAAGUGUUAUAGCCUGCGUUGAUGCUGCCUGCCUAGACCGAGGACUGCGAUUUUAUCAAGGAUGCUGGCAUAAUGAU
rnacentral:rRNA from 1 species